CAUCAUCUCCGGCUCUGCUCUCCUCGCCCUCGAGGCCCUUAUGGCCAAUCCCAGCAUAAAGCGCGGUGAAAACAGCUGGGUAGACAAGAUCUACGAACUCAUGGACUCCGUCGAUAGCUACAUCCCCAUCCCGCAGCGGCAGACCGACCUCCCCUUCCUCCUAGCCGUCGAAGAUGUCUUCUCCAUUACCGGCCGUGGGACCGUCGCCACCGGGCGAGUCGAGCGUGGCACGAUAAAGAUCGGUGAGACCGUCGACAUUGUAGGUCUCCGGGAGACGCGGAACACCACGGUCACCGGUGUCGAGAUGUUCCAAAAGACGCUCGAUGAUGCACUGGCCGGAGACAAUGUCGGCCUACUCCUCCGUGGUGUGCAGAAGGCCGACAUCCAGCGGGGCAUGGUUCUUGCCAAGCCCGGCACCAUCACGCCGCACACCAAAUUCGUUGCCAUUGUCUAUGUCCUUAAGAAAGAGGAGGGUGGGAGGCACUCGCCUUUCUUUUCAGGGUAUAGACCUCAGUUCUACAUGAGGACCACGGAUGUCACGGGCCGUGUCACCAGCAUUAUGAACGACAAGGAUGAGGAGGCCAAGAUGGUCAUGCCCGGAGACCGUGUCAAGAUGGUGGUUGAACUCAUUGUGCCUGUUGCCUGUGAGCAGGGAAUGCGGUUCGCUAUCAGGGAGGGCGGGAAGACCGUCGGUGCUGGUGUCAUCCAAUCCAUCAUUGAAUAAAAUUCUGAGUG
rnacentral:lncRNA from 1 species